rnacentral:rRNA from 1 species
CCUACGGGAGGCAGCAGUGAGGAAUAUUGGUCAAUGGGCGAGAGCCUGAACCAGCCAAGUCGCGUGAGGGAGUACUGCCCUAUGGGUUGUAAACCUCUUUUGUCGGGGAGCAAAAGCCGGACGUGUUCGCCUGCGAGAGUACCCGAAGAAAAAGCACCGGCUAACUCCGUGCCAGCAGCCGCGGUAAUACGGAGGAUGCGAGCGUUAUCCGGAUUUAUUGGGUUUAAAGGGUGCGCAGGCGGAUUUUUAAGUCAGCGGUAAAAUCGUGGGGCUCAACCCCAUCCAGCCGUUGAAACUGGGGAUCUAGAGUGUGCGAGAGGUAUGCGGAAUGCGUGGUGUAGCGGUGAAAUGCAUAGAUAUCACGCAGAACCCCGAUUGCGAAGGCAGCAUACCGGUGCACAACUGACGCUCAGGCACGAAAGCGUGGGUAUCGAACAGGAUUAGAUACCCUUGUAGUC